UCGGAUUGCAGGCUGCAACUCGCCUGCAUGAAGCUGGAAUUGCUAGUAAUCGCGGAUCAGCAAGCCGCGGUGAAUACGUUCCCGGGCCUUGUACACACCGCCCGUCACACCAUGAGAGCCGGGGGGACCCGAAGUCCGUAGCUUAACCGCAAGGAGGGCGCGGCCGAAGGUAAAACUGGUGAUUGGGUGAAGUCGUAACAAGGUAGC
rnacentral:rRNA from 1 species